AUGGCUGCUAAGCCUUUGCAUCUGCUCUUCUACUCAACACUAGUCAUGCUUGUUUCCCUCCAAUUCCAAGCGUCAUCCGCCCAAACCAACAUCACAUCAAGGUUCCCCCUACUGGCUGCCGCCGGCGCCGGCUGGUCGUCCCCGUCGGGCCGCUUCUCCUUCGGCUUCUACGCCACGGACGGCGGCCUCGCCAUCGGCGUCUGGCUCGCCACCGCGCCCAACAUAACCGUCACGUGGACCGCGAACCGCAACAACACGCCGGACACGGGCGGCUCGCUGAGGCUCACCUACGACGGUCGUCUCAUCUGGAUCGGCGCGAGCAUCCAGGACAGGCCGGUGGCAGUCCCGCCCCGUCCGGCAGUCUCCGGCGCCAUGCUCGACGAUGGCAACUUCGUCCUGUACGGCGCGGACGCGUCGGUGGUGUGGUCGACGUUCGCGUCCCCGACCGACACCCUGCUCGCCGGUCAGGACCUCGUGCCCGGGGCGCAGCUCUUCUCCAGCGUGUCCGACACCAACAGGGCCACCGGGAAGUACCGGCUCACCAACCAGCAAAACGACGCAAACCUCGUGUUGUACCCGGUGGGCACGAGCAACGUGGCAGACGCGGCGUACUGGAGCACGGUGACCUUCCAGAUUGGCUUCCUCCUCACCCUGCGCCUGGAUGCCAGUGGCGUGCUCUACCAGGCCAACAGCAACGGCAGCUUCACCAGCAACCUGACGCGAUCUGGAUCCGCAAAAGCUGGGGCGGAGGCCUACUACCGUCUCACGCUUGACCCUGACGGAGUUCUGCGUCUGUACCACCACGCCUUCGUGUCCGGCGGUGCGUCAAAGGCCAGCGUCCAGUGGAGCACACCGAGCGAUCGGUGCCUUGUGAAGGGCGUUUGUGGGCUCAACAGCUACUGCGUCCUCGAUCACGACGGGCAGCCUAGCUGCUUGUGCCCGCCUGGGUUCGGUUUCCUCGACGCGACCAACACGGCGCUCGGUUGCACGGUGAACUCCAGCGCCGGCGAAUGCAGAGGGGGGCAGCAAGACGCCGCAAGCUUCUCCAUGGCACCCACGCUGAACAUGUCAUGGGUGAACGCGGCGUACGAGGUGAUGGGCGCGGGCACGAGCGCGGCCGACUGCCAAGCGGCGUGCCUGAGCGACUGCUUCUGCGCCGCGGUGCUAAGGGACGCCAACGACGGCACGUGCACGAAGCAGCAGCUCCCUCUGCGGUACGGCCGCGUGGGCGGCGCGUACACGCUGUCCGUCAAGACCGGGGGAGCGGCGAACCCGGCGUCGGGCGGCGGCGGCAGCGGCAGGGACACCCGCAACAAACCCGUCGGCGUCGGGCGCGCGACCACCAUCGCAUUGGUGUGCAUCGGCAUCCUAGCAUGCGUCGCGUUGUCCGCCUUCAUCGCCUCCGCGCGGCUGCUCCGGGUGAAGCGCCGGCACGUGGCGCUCGCGAACGCUGACGCCGGCGAGGGCUUGGAGGAGGAGACGGCGCCCCUGAGAUCGUACACCUACCAGGAGCUGGAGCGCGCGACGCACUGCUUCCGAGACCCGUUGGGCCGCGGCGCGUUCGGCACGGUGUUCAAAGGCGCGCUGCGCGACGGCGAGAAGGCCAUCGCCGUGAAGCGGCUGGAGAAGCUGGUGGAAGACGGCGAGCGGGAGUUCCAGAGAGAGGUGCGUGCCAUCGGGCGGACGAGCCACCGCAACCUGGUUCGCCUCCUGGGAUUCUGCCACGAGGGCGCAAACCGCCUCCUCGUCUACGAGUUCAUGAGCAACGGCUCGGUGGCAGACCUGCUCUUCAAGGGCGGCGCGCCGGCGUGGCCCGACCGCCUGGGCAUCGCGCUCGACGUGGCGCGGGGCCUGCACUACCUCCACGACGAGCUCGACAGCCGCGUGAUCCACUGCGACGUGAAGCCGCAGAACAUCCUCAUGGACGCGGCCGGCACGGCCAAGAUCGCCGACUUCGGACUGGCGAAGCUGCUCCAGCCCGACCAGACGCGCACUUUCACGGGCGUCCGCGGCACGCGCGGGUACCUGGCCCCCGAGUGGUACAGGGGCGCCGGGCCGGUCACGGUGAAGGCAGACGUGUACAGCUACGGCGUGGUGCUGCUCGAGAUCGUGACGUGCAGGAGGAGCAUGGAGAUGGAGGAGGCCGGCGAGGAGCGCACGCUGAUGGAGCUAGUGUACGAGUGCCUGCUGAGGGGUGAGGUGACGAGGGCCAUGAGCAGCGACGAGGUGGUCGACGCGGCGGCUGUGGAGCGGGCGGUGAAGGUUGGGAUCUGGUGCGUGCAAGGAGAGCCUGAGUCGAGGCCGUCCAUCAAGAGCGUCAUCUUGAUGCUGGAAGGACAUUUGGAGGUGCCAUUCCCACCGCCUCCCGCUUCGUAG
rnacentral:rRNA from 1 species